rnacentral:rRNA from 1 species
GGUAAAAAAGCUCGUAGUUGGAUUUCUGUUGAGGGCGACCGGUCCAUACCACGUAUGCGCAUCUGGCUCGGCCUCGGCAUCCUCUCGAUAGACGUUUCUGCGCUUGAUUGCGUGGUGCGGAUUUCGGGACUUUUACUUUGAGGAAAUUAGAGUGUUCACGGCAGGCUAUCGCCAGAAUACGUUAGCAUGGAAUAAUACUAUAGGAUCUCGGUUCUAUUUUGUUGGUUUCUAGAAGCGAGGUAAUGAUUAAUAGGGACAAUUGGGGGCAUUUGUAUCAACACGUCAGAGGUGGAAUUCUUGGAUUGUGUUGCGACAAACUACUGCGAAAGCAUUUGCCAAGGAUGUUUUCAUUGAUCAAGAACGAAAGUAAGGGGAUCGAAGACGAUUAGAUACCGUCGUAGUCUUUACCAUAAACUAUGCCAACUAGAGAUGGGUGAUCGUUCAUUUACGACUUCAUCCGCACCUUAUGAGAUAUCAAAGUCUUUGGGUUCCGGGGGGAGUACUGUCGCAAGGUAGAAACUUAAAGGAAUUGACGGAAGGGCACCACCAGGAGUGGAGCCUGCGGCUUAAUUUGACUCAACACGGGAAAGCUCACCAGGUCCAGACAUAAUAAGGAUUGACAGAUUGAUAGCUCUUUCUUGAUUUUAUGGGUGGUGGUGCAUGGCCGUUCUUAGUUCGUGGAGUGAUUUGUCUGCUUAAUUGCGUUAACGAA